ensembl:lncRNA
CAAUGCCGAUGUUAAUGAACACGAUUUUUACAAACUGUAUAAGGAAAUGUGUCGACAUUUGAAAGAGUGGUAUAACUCAGUGAAUCAAUGUCUUCCAAAUAAACAAAGCAUGUUGUUACAAAUCAUAUGUAGGAUCCAUGGAAAGUGAAAGAUGGACUAAGGAGUUUUAAUGUAAUUUUAACAUAUGAAAAGCUUAUUUCAUAUAUUUACCAUUGAUAUGGUUUCAGAUUCCACAUUGUAGCUAACUUUAAAGAAAUUAGCACUUGUUGAUUUUUGGUAUAGUAACAAAGAAGAAUUUCCGCAAUUAUCUGAAAAAGCAUUUAAGAUACUCCUCUGUUUUCCAAUUAUAUAUCUUAGUGAGGCAAGAUUUUCUUAUAUACUUCAACCAAAAUGACAAAUUGCAACAGAUUAAAGACAAAAGCAGAGAUGAGAACCCAGCUGCCUUUUAUUAGGUCACACAUUAAAGAGAUUAGCAAAAUUAUAAAACAAUGCUACUCUUAUUUUUUGUUCUGGAAAAUAUAGUUGUCUUUUCAGCUAUACAUUAUUUAUGUUUACAUGUAAUGUGUUCAUCAUGUUAUUUUUGAAUGAAUGAAUAUUUUUACAAUUUCCUAGUUUUAAUUUCUAGUACAAUAAAGAUUGGCAGCUAUAACUCACAUAAUCAAAAGCCCUUCGGGUCCUCAAUAACGUUCAGAGUGUUACAGAAUCCUGAGACCGAAGUGUGAGAAGCGUUACGGCAGAAUUGAAGCUCUGUGCGGGCAGGGGGGACGUCUGUCUUGAUCACGGCUGUAUUUUACGUGGGAGAUAUUUGAAACACGGCUGGCAAUAUUUGUUGAAAAAGUGAUUGACUGAAUGACUGUCUGAAUGAAUGAAUAACAUUCAAAAUGGGCCUUCCAUGGCAUUCUAGACAGAGGAAACAAUCUGAUAAAAAGACCAGAAUCAAGAAAGUAAGGAUUUUAGGAGAAUAGUGAGAAAUUAAGUCUGUAGAGCAGACUAGCACAGUGGAUAAGAAUUUAGACUUUGGACACAAACAAUCCUGAGUUCAAAUCCUGUUUCCAACCUUUACUAGCUAAGGUAAAUCAACCAUUCUGAACAUCGGCUUAUUAACUGUGUAUACUAGUGCAAGUUACUACUUCUCUAUGCCUCUAUUUCUUUAUCUGUAAAAUGAAGCUACCUCAAACGUUUGUGUUGACAGUAGUAAAGUGCCUAGAGUUGCAUUGCCCAACAUGGCAGCCACUAACCACAUGAGCACUUGGUAAGUGGCUAGUGCAACUGAGAAACUAAAUUUUUAAUUUUAUUUAAUUUUAAUUGAUUGAAAGUGAAGUUAAAAGUUUAAAAUUGAAUCAGUUUUGUCAAUAGGGAUAAGCAUAGAAAAAAAUGAUUAUUUGGUACUUGAUUCAGGUAUUGGAAAUCUUUUAAGCAUGUUUGGAACAACUUGGGUAUGUGAAUCUACUUUUUUCACUGUACUUUUUACAAUAUUUAAAUAUAGAUCAAGUAUUUCCAAUAAAAAUUUAGUGUCCAAAUUGAGACGUGCUGUAGGUGUAAAAUACACAAUGGAUUUCAAAGAUUUAAUACACACAAAAAAAGAAUAUGAUAUAUAUCAUUAAAAAGUUUUUAUAUUGAUUAAAUGCUCAUUGAUAAAAUACUUUAUUAAAAUCAAUUUCACCUAGUUUUUACUUUUUUAGUGUGGCAAUUAGAAAAUUAAAAUGACAAAUAUGGCUCAUAUUUCUAUUGGACGGUGGUUUAGCACAUUGUAACUGCUGUACAAAGUGUUAGUGACCCCUGUUUUAUUAUUAUUUAUACUAUAGAGAUAACAUUUAUCUUACAAAGUCAUAUAAGGACAAAAUGAGAGAUUAUAUUAAGCUCUUAGCACAGUGUGGGGCACAUAAUAAGGGCUCAGUAAAUGGUACCUAUCAUCAGUAAGUAGAGAGGGCAUCGUGUGUUCUGGGAUGAUAGAACUGCAAAGCUAGGUGGGGGCUGCAUGUUGUAUAAAGUUCUGAAAAUCUAGCUGACAUGUUGGAGCUUAAUUCUCUAUGCAGCCGAGAGGCACUGAAGCGCAUGAUCCGAGGUGUGGCAGAAAGAUAAGUCUGACAGCAUGUAUCCUCCAAGGGCGGGUGUGAGUUUUGGAAACAGUUCUAAGUCAUUCAGAGCAAAGUCUGCUGAGUAGGUUGGGUGAUCAAGCUGGGAAAUGCUGUCUGGGGUCACAAACCAAGUCGCAGCUUGAGUGAUGAGUCUGGUUUCAUGGGAAGCUCAUAAUCCAGCUUUGUGGGCAAUUCCGAAAGAGAAGACGACAUCGCCUCAUUCAGGUGUGAGGUCAGCAGGUCUCUCCAAGCAGAAAAUGAAAGAACUUCAUUAUGUGAAUAGAAUGUGCACCAAUAAGGCAAGAUGCUGAGCUCAGUUCUCCGGUUGGCUCAUGAGGCAGAGUGUAACUUCUUUCUUUUCCUGUUUCUGAUAUAGGGAAGUUGGUUUCAAACAGGUCCAAAAUUGGUUGCCUAAGCUUCCUGUGGGCCU